rnacentral:rRNA from 1 species
CCUACGGGAGGCAGCAGUGGGGAAUAUUGGACAAUGGGGGGAACCCUGAUCCAGCCAUGCCGCGUGUGUGAAGAAGGCCCUCGGGUUGUAAAGCACUUUCAGUGAGGAAGAACACCUGGUGGUUAAUACCCAUCAGGAAAGACAUCACUCACAGAAGAAGCACCGGCUAACUCCGUGCCAGCAGCCGCGGUAAUACGGAGGGUGCGAGCGUUAAUCGGAAUUACUGGGCGUAAAGCGCGCGUAGGUGGCUUGAUAAGCCGGUUGUGAAAGCCCCGGGCUCAACCUGGGAACGGCAUCCGGAACUGUCAAGCUAGAGUGCAGGAGAGGAAGGUAGAAUUCCCGGUGUAGCGGUGAAAAGCGUAGAGAUCGGGAGGAAUACCAGUGGCGAAGGCGGCCUUCUGGACUGACACUGACAAUGAGGUGCGAAAGCGUGGGUAGCAAACAGGAUUAGAUACCCUAGUAGUC